rnacentral:rRNA from 1 species
AUUGAACGCUGGCGGUAUGCUUAACACAUGCAAGUCGAACGGCAGCAUGGUCUAGCUUGCUAGACUGAUGGCGAGUGGCGGACGGGUGAGUAACGCGUAGGAAUAUGCCUUGAAGAGUGGGCCAACUUGGGGAAACUCAAGCUAAUACCGCAUGUACUCGAAAGAGUAAAGCUGGGGCCCUUUAGGCCUGGCGCUUUAAGAUUAACCUGCGUCCGAUUAGCUAGUUGGUAGGGGAAAGGCCUACCAAGGCGACGAUCGGUAGCUGGUCUGAGAGGAUGAUCAGCCACACUGGAACUGAGAGACGGUCCAGACUCCUACGGGAGGCAGCAGUGGGGAAUAUUGGACAAUGGGGGGAACCCUGAUCCAGCAAUGCCGCGUGUGUGAAGAAGGCCUGAGGGUUGUAAAGCACUUUCAGUGGGGAGGAGGUUUGGAAGGUUAAGAGCUAUUCAAAUGGACGUUACCCACAGAAGAAGCACCGGCUAACUCCGUGCCAGCCGCCGCGGUAA